rnacentral:rRNA from 1 species
UUGGAGGGCAAGUCUGGUGCCAGCAGCCGCGGUAAUUCCAGCUCCAAUAGCGUAUAUUAAAGUUGUUGCAGUUAAAAAGCUCGUAGUUGAAUUUCGAGAUCAAUUUGUCGGUCGUGCCUCGGUACGUACUGGCAUUAUUGAUCUCUCCCUUCUGAAGAACCGCGAUGUCAUUAAUUUGGUGUCGUGGGGAAUCAGGACUGUUACUUUGAAAAAAUUAGAGUGUUUAAAGCAGGCUUUAGCUUGAAUACAUUAGCAUGGAAUAAUGAAAUAGGACGUUCGAACCUAUUUUGUUGGUUUCUAGGAUCAACGUAAUGAUUAAUAGGGAUAGUUGGGGGCAUUAGUAUUCAAUUGUCAGAGGUGAAAUUCUUGGAUUUAUUGAAGACUAACUACUGCGAAAGCAUUUGCCAAGGAUGUUUUCAUUAAUCAAGAACGAAAGUUAGGGGAUCGAAGACGAUCAGAUACCGUCGUAGUCUUAACCAUAAACUAUGCCGACUAGGGAUCGGAUGAUGUUAAUUUUUUAAUGACUCAUUCGGCGCCUUACGGGAAACCAAAGUGUUUGGGUUC